rnacentral:rRNA from 1 species
CCCUUAGACGUUCUGGGCCGCACGCGCGCUACACUGACGAAGGCAACGAGCUUUCCUUUACCGAAAGGUACGGGUAAUCUUUUGAAACUUCGUCGUGCUGGGGAUAGAUCCUUGCAAUUAUUGAUCUUAAACGAGGAAUUCCUAGUAAGCGCAAGUCACCAACUUGCGUUGAUUACGUCCCUGCCCUUUGUACACACCGCCCGUCGCUACUACCGAUUGAAUGGUUUAGUGAGGCCUUCGGAUCCGCGACUCGUUUUGUGGAGAAGUUGGACAAACUCAGUCAUUUAGAGGAAGUAAAAGUCGUAACA